rnacentral:tRNA from 1 species
GUGAUUGUGGCUCAGCGGUAGAGCACUCACCUGGCAUGUGCAAGGCCCUGGGUUUGAUUCUCAGCACCACA